rnacentral:snRNA from 1 species
GAACGGCUCUCUCGGGAG